AUGAAAGCAAACUAGAAGGCUUUCCCAUUUUUACUUGGGACAAGAUAGUGAUAAAUACUGGGAAAGGCUGAGACACUGUUUUAGCAAGUCCUCCAAGACUGCCCUAUUUUUAGCUCCAUGGCUGUGGAGCUGAUUCAGGUCAGGCCUCCGGCAGGCCCAAAUCCGUAAGUGUAAAAAGGAAAUGGCCUAUCUAAAUCAGAUAAUUUGGAGAGAAAGACCAAAAUCCUAACUCGAGUCUCCUCCCCGUCUUUAAAAACUGCCACUUAGAUUAUUUACUUUGAUUCCUUCUUAGAAAUGAUGAGUAUUUGUGAUUUUAUAGGAGAAAUUGUUGGCAAAAAAUAUAAAUUAUUGGUACACAUUUUAAAAGGGAAGCCUGACGCUGGUAUUACUUCCUUUUUCCCACACACACACACUUUGCCUUUGGCGAUGAUGGCUAUAACUGUAGCCUACUGAAUAACUGAACUUCCCCCAAAGUUCAAGGUCUUCAGCUAAGCUCAUCAGACUAAAACUGAGUCACAUAACUGGGAAGGGUAGUCCCUUAUGCCUAACCUAAACCCCAUUACAAAAUACAAUAAAAUGUGUUACCUGAUGUAACAAAGAGUUCUUAGUGUAAACUAGCUCUUGCCCCUUUUCUACUUAAAAACAGAGAUCCCACUAUAAUAAAAGAGGCUUCUGUAUAAUCAAGGCCACCGAGUAUCUAUGGUAUGCACUACGGAAAUCAGGCACACCCUUCUGCUUCAAUAUAAACUAGGACUCAAGAUAACUCAAAUCCAAGCUUCUGGAGGUGCUGAGGAGUCCAAGGAAGCAGGACAGACAGAGAUUCAGAAAAUUCACAAAUGGGGCAGACUAUUUACCUACUAACAAUAAGGACCGGAGGCAGUGGGUGGCUGUGAACAUACCCCACAGCAACACUGAAAAUGAGAAACGGACAGAGCCUGGUUUGGGGAGCUUUUGGAAGAAUUUUUCAAUGACAAUGUCCGCAACAUAAAGCAACGGUUUGUGUCCGUUAAAUCAAUUUCUUGUUUUAAAGAAAGAUUUUACGCUACCUAUGGUAAAUAAAUGGCUUGCCUUUCAAUGUUUAAAAAUGA
rnacentral:lncRNA from 1 species